rnacentral:rRNA from 1 species
GACGUAGGGCGCGAGCGUUGUCCGGAUUUAUUGGGCGUAAAGAGCUCGUAGGCGGCUUGUCGCGUCAACUGUGAAAACCCGUGGCUCAACCAUGUGGUCUGCAGUCGAUACGGGCAGGCUAGAAUUCGGUAGGGGAGACUGGAAUACCUGGUGUAGUGGUGAAAUACGUAGAUAUCAGGUGGAACACCGGAGGCGAAGGCGGUUAACUGGCUCGACACUGACACUGAGACCCGAAAGUGCGGGGAUCAAACAGG